CAGUCCAAAUAGAUCAAAGAUCUCAACAUAAAGCCAGAUACACUAAAUCUGAUAGAAGAGAAAAUGGGAAAUUGUCUUGAACGCUUGGGUGAAAGAGACAAGUCCUGAAUAGAACACCAAUGGCUCAGGCACUAAGAUCAACAAUUAAUGAAUGGGACCUCAGGAAACGGAAAGAUUCUGUAAGGCAAAGAACACUGUCAAUAGGACCCAAUGUCAACAUAUAGAAUGAGAAAAGAUCUUCACCAACCCUAUAUCCAACAGAGGGCUUAUAUCCACAAUAUAUGAUGAACUCAAAGAAUUAGACACCAACAAUCUAAUAACACAAUUAAAUAUGGGUUACAGAGCUAAGCAGAGAAUUAUGAGCAGAAGAAUCACUAAUAUCCAAUAAACACAUAAAUGUUGAACAUCUUUAGUCAUCAGGGAAAUUUAAAUCAAUGACCCUGAGAUUCCAUUUUAUACCCAUCAGAAUGGUUAAAAUCAAGUGAUAGCUCAUGCCGUUGAGGAUGUCGAACGGGAUGACAUUGCCUGUGGGAGUACAGACUUGUGCAACAACUUUGGAACUUAUGGUUUCUCAUAAAAUUGGGAAUGGUUCUACCGCAAGACCCAGCUAUACCACACUUGGGCAUAUACGCAAAAGUUGCUCCACCAUACCACAAAGACAAUUACUCACCUCUGUUCAUAGCAGGCUUUUUAGUAAUAACCAGAAACUGGAAACAACCUAGAUGUCC
rnacentral:lncRNA from 1 species